rnacentral:rRNA from 1 species
UACGAAGGGGGCUAGCGUUGCUCGGAAUCACUGGGCGUAAAGCGCACGUAGGCGGACUCUUAAGUCGGUGGUGAAAUCCUGGAGCUCAACUCCAGAACUGCCUUCGAUACUGGGAGUCUCGAGUCCGGGAGAGGUGAGUGGAACUGCGAGUGUAGAGGUGAAAUUCGUAGAUAUUCGGCAAGAACACCAGUGGCGAAGGCGGCUCACUGGCCCGGUACUGACGCUGAGGUGCGAAAGCGUGGGGAGCGAACAGG